rnacentral:rRNA from 1 species
CGGAGGGAAACCGAGUCUUAAUUGGGCGUUAAGUUGCAGGGUAUAGACCCGAAACCCGGUGAUCUAGCCAUGGGCAGGUUGAAGGUUGGGUAACACUAACUGGAGGACCGAACCGACUAAUGUUGAAAAAUUAGCGGAUGACCUGUGGCUGGGGGUGAAAGGCCAAUCAAACCGGGAGAUAGCUGGUUCUCCCCGAAAGCUAUUUAGGUAGCGCCUCGUGAAUUCAUCUCCGGGGGUAGAGCACUGUUUCGGCUAGGGGGCCAUCCCGGCUUACCAACCCGAUGCAAACUGCGAAUACCGGAGAAUGUUAUCACGGGAGACACACGGCGGGUGCUAACGUCCGUCGUGAAGAGGGAAACAACCCAGACCGCCAGCUAAGGUCCCAAAGUCAUGGUUAAGUGGGAAACGAUGUGGGAAGGCCCAGACAGCCAGGAUGUUGGCUUAGAAGCAGCCAUCAUUUAAAGAAAGCGUAAUAGCUCACUGGUCGAGUCGGCCUGCGCGGAAGAUGUAACGGGGCUAAACCAUGCACCGAAG